UACGUAGGGUGCGAGCGUUAAUCGGAAUUACUGGGCGUAAAGCGUGCGCAGGCGGUUUUGUAAGCCAGGUGUGAAAUCCCCGGGCUCAACCUGGGAAUGGCAUUUGGGACUGCAAGGCUGGAGUGCGGCAGAGGAGACUGGAAUUCCUGGUGUAGCAGUGAAAUGCGUAGAUAUCAGGAGGAACACCGAUGGCGAAGGCAGGUCUCUGGGCUGACACUGACGCUCAUGCACGAAAGCGUGGGGAGCGAAACAAGG
rnacentral:rRNA from 1 species